rnacentral:rRNA from 1 species
AUUAACUGAAUCCAUAGGUUAAUGAGGCGAACCGGGGGAACUGAAACAUCUAAGUACCCCGAGGAAAAGAAAUCAACCGAGAUUCCCCCAGUAGCGGCGAGCGAACGGGGAGGAGCCCAGAGCCUGAAUCAGUGUGUGUGUUAGUGGAAGCGUCUGGAAAGGCGCGCGAUACAGGGUGACAGCCCCGUACACAAAAAUGCACAUGCUGUGAGCUCGAUGAGUAGGGCGGGACACGUGGUAUCCUGUCUGAAUAUGGGGGGACCAUCCUCCAAGGCUAAAUACUCCUGACUGACCGAUAGUGAACCAGUACCGUGAGGGAAAGGCGAAAAGAACCCCGGCGAGGGGAGUGAAAAAGAACCUGAAACCGUGUACGUACAAGCAGUGGGAGCACAGAGCAAUCUGUGUGACUGCGUACCUUUUGUAUAAUGGGUCAGCGACUUAUAUUCUGUAGCAAGGUUAACCGAAUAGGGGAGCCGAAGGGAAACCGAGUCUUAACUGGGCGUUAAGUUGCAGGGUAUAGACCCGAAACCCGGUGAUCUAGCCAUGGGCAGGUUGAAGGUUGGGUAACACUAACUGGAGGACCGAACCGACUAAUGUUGAAAAAUUAGCGGAUGACUUGUGGCUGGGGGUGAAAGGCCAAUCAAACCGGGAGAUAGCUGGUUCUCCCCGAAAGCUAUUUAGGUAGCGCCUCGUGAAUUCAUCUCCGGGGGUAGAGCACUGUUUCGGCAAGGGGGUCAUCCCGACUUACCAACCCGAUGCAAACUGCGAAUACCGGAGAAUGUUAUCACGGGAGACACACGGCGGGUGCUAACGUCCGUCGUGAAGAGGGAAACAACCCAGACCGCCAGCUAAGGUCCCAAAGUCAUGGUUAAGUGGGAAACGAUGUGGGAAGGCCCAGACAGCCAGGAUGUUGGCUUAGAAGCAGCCAUCAUUUAAAGAAAGCGUAAUAGCUCACUGGUCGAGUCGGCCUGCGCGGAAGAUGUAACGGGGCUAAACCAUGCACCGAAGCUGCGGCAGCGACACUAUGUGUUGUUGGGUAGGGGAGCGUUCUGUAAGCCUGUGAAGGUGUGCUGUGAGGCAUGCUGGAGGUAUCAGAAGUGCGAAUGCUGACAUAAGUAACGAUAAAGCGGGUGAAAAGCCCGCUCGCCGGAAGACCAAGGGUUCCUGUCCAACGUUAAUCGGGGCAGGGUGAGUCGACCCCUAAGGCGAGGCCGAAAGGCGUAGUCGAUGGGAAACAGGUUAAUAUUCCUGUACUUGGUGUUACUGCGAAGGGGGGACGGAGAAGGCUAUGUUGGCCGGGCGACGGUUGUCCCGGUUUAAGCGUGUAGGCUGGUUUUCCAGGCAAAUCCGGAAAAUCAAGGCUGAGGCGUGAUGACGAGGCACUACGGUGCUGAAGCAACAAAUGCCCUGCUUCCAGGAAAAGCCUCUAAGCAUCAGGUAACAUCAAAUCGUACCCCAAACCGACACAGGUGGUCAGGUAGAGAAUACCAAGGCGCUUGAGAGAACUCGGGUGAAGGAACUAGGCAAAAUGGUGCCGUAACUUCGGGAGAAGGCACGCUGAUAUGUAGGUGAAGCGACUUGCUCGUGGAGCUGAAAUCAGUCGAAGAUACCAGCUGGCUGCAACUGUUUAUUAAAAACACAGCACUGUGCAAACACGAAAGUGGACGUAUACGGUGUGACGCCUGCCCGGUGC